AACGCAACGCCUUGAAAACACACAUGCACCGGCACAUGGUCCCGGGUGCCGUCGGUUCAUCCCGCCGGUCGGAUCCAUGGGGUGCAUGGAGGCCUAAC
rnacentral:sRNA from 1 species